rnacentral:lncRNA from 1 species
UUUUUUUUGUUUUGUUAGUUCGUAUAAUUUGUUCGAUGCGUCUGAUUAUUUUGUUCCAUGAGUUUGUAGAAUUUGUUCCACAUGUACAUGCUCUUAGAAAAUAUGUAACAUUGAUUAAAAAAUGUGAAUAAAAAAUCUAUUGAAAUAUAGUCAAGUGCGAUCUUGUUGUGAAGGUUUUAUUGUAAGAAACUCAAUGGUGCAAUCGAAAUUUAGUUUUGAUGCUCUGUGUAAGAUUUAUGACUUUUUUAAACUUCCUAUUCUCAUGCAUGCAGGU